GCUCAGAUUGAACGCUGGCGGCAGGCUUAACACAUGCAAGUCGAGCGGGGUGAUGUAGCUUGCUACAUUACCUAGCGGCGGACGGGUGAGUAAUGCUUAGGAAUCUGCCUAUUAGUGGGGGACAACAUUCCGAAAGGAAUGCUAAUACCGCAUACGCCCUACGGGGGAAAGCAGGGGAUCUUCGGACCUUGCGCUAAUAGAUGAGCCUAAGUCAGAUUAGCUAGUUGGUGGGGUAAAGGCCUACCAAGGCGACGAUCUGUAGCGGGUCUGAGAGGAUGAUCCGCCACACUGGGACUGAGACACGGCCCGGACUCCUACGGGAGGCAGCAGUA
rnacentral:rRNA from 1 species